GCCGCCUCAGUCUGCUGUCGGGCCGCCUCUGCCUGCUGAGUGACCAAGUCGGUGAGGGCCGCCAGCUGGCCCCUCAACUCACAGACCUCGCUGGAUCCGGAGGUAGCGGACUUCUCGACCUCCUCGAAGUUUGCCGCAUUGUCCGUCCCGGCAGAUUGGGAGCGAGUAAUCGGCAUCGUCACUACAACAUCAUAAAAGCGCAAGUUAGAAAUACUCACGCUAUCGCAUCCCCGCUCAAAAGACAAACCCCGAAUCAUGCGAAAGUAAGGAAGUGUUCUACACUACUAACUCCCGAUGUUACGUUGUC
rnacentral:lncRNA from 1 species